AGAGAGAGAGAGAGAGUUCCGCUUUCUCUGAAAUCAGAAGGAGUGGCUUUGUGUGUGACAGAGGGCGGAGAGACAGAGAAGGAGCACGCAGAUUGGAAUGAAAACAACAAACUACACUUCAUAAUAGCAGCGUUUUCAUAAAUUGAUUUAAAAAACGCAACAUGCCUGGAUUCUUUAUUAUUAUUAUUAUUAUUAUUAGUAGUAGUAUUAUUUCAAAUAGAUUUUUAACAAGGAUCAAUCCAUAUCUCCUGUGAACGUCAUUGUUUUCCUUGAAAUAAAGCUGCUUUACAGUAGACACCAUCCUCACCUCCACACGGUGUAUACAGGCUAAAUGACUGGAAUGAGGUGUGUCGCAUACCUUUAUGUUAGUCUGAACGUCUAUGUUAGAUAGGCACUUUCAUUAAUCAUGCAUCGGCAGGUUAAAAAAACAAACAGUUAUUUAUUUAUUUACAUAAUGCUACUUUAAUAUAAAAAUUCACUUAAUACACAUUAUUUAUUCCUUCAUGUACAGUACAGGACCACACACACAUUCUUUGACUCUUAGGGGAAAAUUUAGCUUUGUCAAUUCACCUACUGGCACGUUUUCGGUAGGCGGAUGGAAACCGGAGAACCCGGGAAGAACAUGCAAAACUCGGCACAGACAGUAACCCGAGCUCAGGAUCAGACAAGGGACCCUGGAGCUGUGAGGUGGCGACGGAACCUGCUGUACCACUGCAUUAAAUACAGAGUAUAAUGUAGUUCAUAUGUCACAAACACAUUAUACUGGAUCACACAACCUUACUUUUACAGAAUAAAAUCCCCCAUAAAUCCGGAACCCAGCGUAUAGAGGCUGAGUGAAAGUGGUGUGGACUCUGUGGAGGAGCUUCAUCGUGUCAGAGAGGCUGUAGAAGGACAGAGUUCCUGCACUGUGAUCCACAUACACUCCUAUUCUGGAGGACGAUGGAACACUGAGAUCAGUCUUAAUGUUGUUGUGAUAGAAAGAGUGAGAAGAAGAAGAACACCGCAGACUCCAGGACUGAUCGUUGAGUCCAAACUCGCACUUGUUACCCCGUCCUUUCCUGCUGAUGUCUUUAUAUGAGACCGAUAUGGCCACAUGUCCGUGACUUCUCCACUCCACCUCCCAGUAACAGCGUCCACACACACUCUCCUUACUCAACACCUGAGGAAAGUGCGAAAAUCUUUCUGGACUAUCAGAGUACUUCCGCUCUGUUCCAUGGGCUGUCAACAAUCUGUUCUUAUUAGACAGAAUGAGGUAGCGAUAUGUUGUGUUGGGAUCCAGAGUCAGAUAACAGAAAUCUGAAAUAAAGAAGAAAGCAGAAAGCCACGGAAAAUGUGAACAUUUGAUAUAAUUCUUGGAAUAUAUGACGAGAGUGAGGCGUCGUCCUGGUUUAUUUUCUUCCUCGUGCAUCUACGUACAUUUCAGAAAGUCUUCUCUGGUCUGUGGCUCUGAUGGUGAAAUAAUCUGAACUGCUGCAUCUGUGGAGAGAAAAAUGGAAAAGAAGAACAAAAUCAUUCCUCAGCUUCUAUAAAUGAUUGACAUUCCAGCCCCAAUGUUUGUUACACCACAGUACUGUUGAACUCUGGGUUCUGAUUGGUCAGAAGGUGUUGAUUAGUUUUCUAUAACGGCAGCUCUG
ensembl:lncRNA